AACAGGAUUAGAUACCCUGGUAGUCCACGCCCUAAACGAUGUCUACUAGUUGUUGGUGGAGUAAAAUCCAUGAGUAACGCAGCUAACGCGUGAAGUAGACCGCCUGGGGAGUACGGUCGCAAGAUUAAAACUCAAAGGAAUUGACGGGGGCCCGCACAAGCGGUGGAUUAUGUGGAUUAAUUCGAUGCAACGCGAAAAACCUUACCUGGCCUUGACAUGCCACUAACGAAGCAGAGAUGCAUUAGGUGCUCGAAAGAGAAAGUGGACACAGGUGCUGCAUGGCUGUCGUCAGCUCGCGUCGUGAGAUGUUGGGUUAAGUCCCGCAACGAGCGCAACCCUUGCCAUUAAUUGCCAUCAUUUAGUUGGGCACUUUAAUGGGACUGCCGGUGACAAGCCGGAGGAAGGUGGGGAUGACGUCAAGUCCUCAUGGCCCUUAUGGCCAGGGCCUCACACGUAAUACAAUGGUCGGUACAGAGAGUUGCCAACCCGCGAGGGGGAGCUAAUCUCAGAAAGCCGAUCGUAGUCCGGAUUGUUCUCUGCAACUCGAGAGCAUGAAGUCGGAAUCGCUAGUAAUCGCGGAUCAGCAUGUCGCGGUGAAUACGUUCCCGGGCCUUGUACACACCGCCCGUCACACCAUGGGAGUGGGUUUUACCAGAAGUAGUUAGUCUGACCGCAAGGGGGACGAUUACCACGGUAGUAUUCAUGACUGGGGUGAAGUCGUAACAAGGUAACC
rnacentral:rRNA from 1 species